rnacentral:rRNA from 1 species
AUUGAACGCUGGCGGCAUGCUUUACACAUGCAAGUCGAACGGUAACAGGCCGCAAGGUGCUGACGAGUGGCGAACGGGUGAGUAAUGCAUCGGAACGUGCCCAGUCGUGGGGGAUAACUACUCGAAAGAGUAGCUAAUACCGCAUACGAUCUAUGGAUGAAAGCGGGGGACCGUAAGGCCUCGCGCGAUUGGAGCGGCCGAUGUCAGAUUAGGUAGUUGGUGGGGUAAAGGCUCACCAAGCCAACGAUCUGUAGCUGGUCUGAGAGGACGACCAGCCACACUGGGACUGAGACACAGCCCAGACUCCUACGGGAGGCAGCAGUGGGGAAUUUUGGACAAUGGGCGCAAGCCUGAUCCAGCAAUGCCGCGUGCAGGAAGAAGGCCUUCGGGUUGUAAACUGCUUUUGUACGGAACGAAACGGCUCUGGUUAAUACCCGGGGCUAAUGACGGUACCGUAAGAAUAAGCACCGGCUAACUACGUG